AGAGUUUGAUCCUGGCUCAGGAUUAACGCUGGUGGCGUGCUUAACACAUGCAAGUCGAACGAAUCUUGAAAAUGAAGCUUCGGUGGAUUUUUCUUCUGAUUAGUGGCAAACGGGUGAGUAAUAAAUAAGUAACCUGCCUUAAAGCCUGGAAUAACUUUUCGAAAGGGAAGCUAAUACCGGAUACACUUUUUAAUUCAUAUGAAUUUUAAAGGAAAGAUUUAUCACUUUAAGAGGGGCUUAUUUCUGAUUAGCUUGUUGGUGAGGUAAAAGCUUACCAAGGCUACGAUCAGUAGCUGGUCUGAGAGGACGAACAGCCACACUGGAACUGAGACACGGUCCAGACUCCUACGGGAGGCAGCAGUGAGGAAUAUUGCGCAAUGGGCGAAAGCCUGACGCAGCGACGCCACGUGAGCGAUGAAGUCUCUAGGGAUGUAAAGCUCUGUCAAGAGGAACGAUUAUGACGGUACCUCUAAAGGAAGCCCCGGCUAACUACGUGCCAGCAGCCGCGGUAAUACGUAGGGGGCAAGCGUUAUCCGGAUUUAUUGGGCAUAAAGAGCGCGUAGGCGGUAAUUUAAGUCAGAUGUUAAAAGCUUCAGCUCAACUGAAGUUCGCAUUUGAAACUGAAGUACUAGAGUUUAGUAGAGGAAAGCGGAACUCACGGUGUAGCGGUGAAAUGCGUAGAUAUCGUGAGGAACACCAGUUGCGAAGGCGGCUUUCUGGACUAAUACUGACGCUGAGGUGCGAAAGCGUGGGGAGCGAACGGGAUUAGAUACCCCGGUAGUCCACGCCGUAAACGUUGUUCACUAGGUGUUGGAGGUAUCGACCCCUUCAGUGCCACAGAUAAUUCGUUAAGUGAACCGCCUGGGAAGUACGACCGCAAGGUUAAAACUCAAAGGAAUUGACGGGGGCCCGCA
rnacentral:rRNA from 1 species